GACGAACCGUGCGAACGUUGUUCGGAAUCACUGGGCUUAAAGGGCGCGUAGGCGGGCAGUCAAGUCUGAAGUGAAAUCCUCCGGCUCAACCGGAGAACAGCUUUGGAUACUGGCUGUCUCGAGUGGGGUAGGGGCGUGUGGAACGGUCGGUGGAGCGGUGAAAUGCGUUGAUAUCGACCGGAACUCCGGUGGCGAAAGCGACACGCUGGACCCUCACUGACGCUGAGGCGCGAAAGCCAGGGGAGCAAACGGG
rnacentral:rRNA from 1 species